rnacentral:rRNA from 1 species
GGGUUGUGAGGUUAAGCGACUAAGCGUACACGGUGGAUGCCCUGGCAGUCAGAGGCGAUGAAGGACGUGCUAAUCUGCGAUAAGCGUCGGUAAGGUGAUAUGAACCGUUAUAACCGGCGAUUUCCGAAUGGGGAAACCCAGUGUGAUUCGUCACACUAUCAUUAACUGAAUCCAUAGGUUAAUGAGGCGAACCGGGGGAACUGAAACAUCUAAGUACCCCGAGGAAAAGAAAUCAACCGAGAUUCCCCCAGUAGCGGCGAGCGAACGGGGAGCAGCCCAGAGCCUGAAUCAGUGUGUGUGUUAGUGGAAGCGUCUGGAAAGGCGCGCGAUACAGGGUGACAGCCCCGUACACAAAAAUGCACAUGCUGUGAGCUCGAUGAGUAGGGCGGGACACGUGGUAUCCUGUCUGAAUAUGGGGGGACCAUCCUCCAAGGCUAAAUACUCCUGACUGACCGAUAGUGAACCAGUACCGUGAGGGAAAGGCGAAAAGAACCCCGGCGAGGGGAGUGAAAAAGAACCUGAAACCGUGUACGUACAAGCAGUGGGAGCACGCUUAGGCGUGUGACUGCGUACCUUUUGUAUAAUGGGUCAGCGACUUAUAUUCUGUAGCAAGGUUAACCGAAUAGGGGAGCCGAAGGGAAACCGAGUCUUAACUGGGCGUUAAGUUGCAGGGUAUAGACCCGAAACCCGGUGAUCUAGCCAUGGGCAGGUUGAAGGUUGGGUAACACUAACUGGAGGACCGAACCGACUAAUGUUGAAAAAUUAGCGGAUGACUUGUGGCUGGGGGUGAAAGGCCAAUCAAACCGGGAGAUAGCUGGUUCUCCCCGAAAGCUAUUUAGGUAGCGCCUCGUGAAUUCAUCUCCGGGGGUAGAGCACUGUUUCGGCAAGGGGGUCAUCCCGACUUACCAACCCGAUGCAAACUGCGAAUACCGGAGAAUGUUAUCACGGGAGACACACGGCGGGUGCUAACGUCCGUCGUGAAGAGGGAAACAACCCAGACCGCCAGCUAAGGUCCCAAAGUCAUGGUUAAGUGGGAAACGAUGUGGGAAGGCCCAGACAGCCAGGAUGUUGGCUUAGAAGCAGCCAUCAUUUAAAGAAAGCGUAAUAGCUCACUGGUCGAGUCGGCCUGCGCGGAAGAUGUAACGGGGCUAAACCAUGCACCGAAGCUGCGGCAGCGACGCUUAUGCGUUGUUGGGUAGGGGAGCGUUCUGUAAGCCUGUGAAGGUGUACUGUGAGGUAUGCUGGAGGUAUCAGAAGUGCGAAUGCUGACAUAAGUAACGAUAAAGCGGGUGAAAAGCCCGCUCGCCGGAAGACCAAGGGUUCCUGUCCAACGUUAAUCGGGGCAGGGUGAGUCGACCCCUAAGGCGAGGCCGAAAGGCGUAGUCGAUGGGAAACAGGUUAAUAUUCCUGUACUUGGUGUUACUGCGAAGGGGGGACGGAGAAGGCUAUGUUGGCCGGGCGACGGUUGUCCCGGUUUAAGCGUGUAGGCUGGUUUUCCAGGCAAAUCCGGAAAAUCAAGGCCGAGGCGUGAUGACGAGGCACUACGGUGCUGAAGCAACAAAUGCCCUGCUUCCAGGAAAAGCCUCUAAGCAUCAGGUAACAUCAAAUCGUACCCCAAACCGACACAGGUGGUCAGGUAGAGAAUACCAAGGCGCUUGAGAGAACUCGGGUGAAGGAACUAGGCAAAAUGGUGCCGUAACUUCGGGAGAAGGCACGCUGAUACGUAGGUGAAGCGACUUGCUCGUGGAGCUGAAAUCAGUCGAAGAUACCAGCUGGCUGCAACUGUUUAUUAAAAACACAGCACUGUGCAAACACGAAAGUGGACGUAUACGGUGUGACGCCUGCCCGGUGCCGGAAGGUUAAUUGAUGGGGUUAGCGCAAGCGAAGCUCUUGAUCGAAGCCCCGGUAAACGGCGGCCGUAACUAUAACGGUCCUAAGGUAGCGAAAUUCCUUGUCGGGUAAGUUCCGACCUGCACGAAUGGCGUAAUGAUGGCCAGGCUGUCUCCACCCGAGACUCAGUGAAAUUGAACUCGCUGUGAAGAUGCAGUGUACCCGCGGCAAGACGGAAAGACCCCGUGAACCUUUACUAUAGCUUGACACUGAACAUUGAGCCUUGAUGUGUAGGAUAGGUGGGAGGCUUUGAAGUGUGGACGCCAGUCUGCAUGGAGCCGACCUUGAAAUACCACCCUUUAAUGUUUGAUGUUCUAACGUGGACCCGUGAUCCGGGUUGCGGACAGUGUCUGGUGGGUAGUUUGACUGGGGCGGUCUCCUCCUAAAGAGUAACGGAGGAGCACGAAGGUUGGCUAAUCCUGGUCGGACAUCAGGAGGUUAGUGCAAUGGCAUAAGCCAGCUUGACUGCGAGCGUGACGGCGCGAGCAGGUGCGAAAGCAGGUCAUAGUGAUCCGGUGGUUCUGAAUGGAAGGGCCAUCGCUCAACGGAUAAAAGGUACUCCGGGGAUAACAGGCUGAUACCGCCCAAGAGUUCAUAUCGACGGCGGUGUUUGGCACCUCGAUGUCGGCUCAUCACAUCCUGG